rnacentral:rRNA from 1 species
AACGAACGCUGGCGGCAUGCCUAACACAUGCAAGUCGAACGAGACCUUCGGGUCUUGGGGCGCACGGGUGCGUAACGCGUGGGAACCUGCCCUUAGGUUCGGAAUAACUCCCCGAAAGGGGUGCCAAUACGGGACAAUGUCUUAGGACCAAAGAUUUAUCGCCUUUGGAUGGGCCCUCGUUGGAUUAGCUAGUGGGUAGGGUAAAAGCCUACUAAGGCGACGAUCCAUAGCUGGUCUGAGAGGAUGAUCAGCCACACUGGGAGUGGGACACGGCCCGGACUCCUACGGGAGGCAGCAGUGGGUGAUAUUGGACAGUGGGCGAAAGGCUGAUCCAGCAAUGCCGCGUGAGUUAUGAAGGCCUUGGGGUUGUAAAGCUCUUUUACCCGUGAUGAUAAUGACAGUACCGGGAGAAUAAGCUCCGGCUAACUCCGUG